AACCUUCUAUAUCCGUGCUGAGAUUUUGUCACACAUCAGACCACAAGAUAUGAUGAGACUUCCGAGAUAAGUGAAUUG
rfam:Schistosoma mattheei strain Denwood, Zambia genome assembly, scaffold: SMTD_scaffold0014486